rnacentral:rRNA from 1 species
UACGGAGGUCUCAAGCGUUGUUCGGAUUCAUUGGGCGUAAAGGGUGCGUAGGUGGCGCGCUAAGUCGGGUGUGAAAUCUCGGAGCUUAACUCCGAAAUUGCAUUCGAUACUGGCGUGCUUGAGGACUGGAGAGGAGACUGGAAUUCAUGGUGUAGCAGUGAAAUGCGUAGAUAUCGUAAGGAAGACCAGUGGCGAAGGCGGGUCUCUGGACAGUUCCUGACACUGAGACACGAAGGCCAGGGGAGCAGACGGG